rnacentral:lncRNA from 1 species
GGAAAGCUUAUUCCAAGAUCUUUCCUGCGAUAUCUAGAAACACACCUAACUCAUCCUGAGCUAGGAGUUAUGGUCGUUUGAAGUUGACCAAAACUCAACUUAACAUACUUAACAAAUUUUCCAGAUUUCUAUUCUUUCCAAAAAUUGACUAUUUCCAAUUCUUAACUUCUUCCUAGUUAUUUCAAUUUGCGAGAUGUUACAAAAACAACACCCC